CAGACCACCAGACUGGGGUGUCAAGUCUCGUGUGGCAGCAGGGGAGCUUCCUGUUUCCAACGACAUGGAGAAAGAUUCUGUCUCUCUCUCUUCACUUCUCUUCUGAUCUCAGGAGGAGACACACUUUCCCCAAAGUGAGAUGUCCACAGAGCCUGCUGAAGUCCAUGGAGAGCGGGGGUGUGUCUGCACCAGCUCCUCCAUUUCAGUUCUUGGCGGGAGGGGCGCCAAACACUAUGCCAGGCGACAACGAUUGACCAUAAAAACGUGAAGCACCUGUUCUGAGCCCCCUCGAGCUGCCGGGACAGGCAGCAGAGGGGAGCCAGAGGGACCUGGAUUGUGCCUGUAGCAGAGUCCUGUGGGAGGCUCCCUGGUGCAGACACGGUCCAACAAGACAAGAUUCCUUGGGGGCCUCGGGGCCGGUGUUUCCCCCCACUGCGGAUGAGGGCCUCUGUGGCCUGUGGGCAAUGGAGGCAAUGCACCAAAGGGAGCUGGCUCCUUCCACCCUCUCGUUCCUCUGUGCCGGUCACAUCCAAGAAAACGUCUUCUUAGUGACAGCCCAUCUCCAGCACCUGUCUGACACUCGCCAGUGUCCCUUUACAAACAAGGAAAGAGCAGGUCUAAGGCUCAGGGGCCCUUCUCAGGCAGCAGUAUUUGGCUAAAAUCAAAUACCACUUUCUCUUUUACCUAUUUUUUAUGGUAACCUCUCUAUGGUAAUGACACAGAUUUACCUUUUAAAAACUAAACUCACUCUUUUAGUAAAAUACAUAAAUUGUUCAGAGGAACAAAAUGUGUAAAUAAUGAUUUCAAGGAAUAAAAUCCAAAAUGAAGUUUGGAAA